CCUCACUCUGGUUGCCUUUCCUGUUUCAGCAGACCCCAUCACUCACAGCAUAUACCAUCAGCCUGUUUCUCAAAGGCAUUGUAUUCAUAUGUGCAAAAACAAAUUGUGAUGCGUAGUGUUGAAGUCAUGUGUUGUAUCCUACUCCCUGGAGUUUCUCAACACAUUCAGAUUUCCUGGUGAAAACCAGUUUCAUGCCCAACAAGAAAAGCCUGAGCCUGCUCUGUUACACUGCCAGAACCACUCUGAAGCCGUGGUAUCAUGCCUCUUCACAGGGCAGCAGAAUUUUCAAGAACCUCCCACAGAUCCUUGAGAUAAAUAGAGUCAUCUCUACACACUCGGAUUUCCUGCUACUGGCCUUCAAGAAAAACAGUGCGAUACAAACCCACUGAUCUGCUGCCACUUUCAAAAUCUCAGCUAAGAACUCCAAGACCAAGGAGUCAGAAGCAGUGAAAGCAAGGCAAUA
rnacentral:lncRNA from 1 species